CCCUGAUGAGUUUCCAUCCUGCAAGGCAACACUGGCUAUGUCUCCUGCUACUUAAAUUGUUACAAAAUACCAGAUGUGCUUAAGAAAGAGAACUAUUGAACUGCUGGAUGAACGCUGUGGAAUCUAGCAGCAGGUCUCCAGUUAGUUUGAUAAGCAACAGUUUCCAACCUGUUUGAGCUGGUACUCUGAAAUAUUACUUUCUGUGGAAUUGUGCUGAGGCUCCAAACAACUUUGGAGAACCAAACUUGGAAGAUAAAGGCACUGAAUUAGGGCCUCUUCUGUUGAUCUUAUGGAUCUGGAUGUGCAUAGCAAGAUAUUCUUCAAGGAAGCCUCGUGCAGAAUGCAUUGCAGCAGUUAAGCUGGGAAGUAAUCAAGGCAAAGAUAACUGCUGCCAGGUCAAGAAACAUAACAAAAAUAUAUAUUACAGAAAUAUAAAUGGGCAAAUGCAUUCCUAAUCAUAUGGAAAUGCAGAGAUUUCCUUAGCACUACCAAACUAUUAGUUGAAUGUACACAGGAAGUGGAAAGUCCUUCCAGAACAAACUGAACCAAACCCCAGAACCUCAUUUCCCAUUGAUCUACACACCUCUGCGUUGCUUGUACUCAUAUGGAUCAAUGGCAGCUAGCCUUGAUGGCAAUGUGACUGCCUCUGAAGGCCAUCUGCUCGGAGACAGAUGGACUUCAUUGUGCCAUUGUUUGGCCAAUAUAAGAAAAGUCUGCAAGUUAGAUGGGCCAGAGUUCCAGCAGGGGCAAUGGUAGGGGGUGGGCUGCUGGGUGUUGCAUGGGUUCGGGCGAUCCUCUAACUAGGAUUCUGCCCAGUUUGGUGAACCCCCAAAUGCAAUCCCUGGCUGGCCACACCUAUCCUGU